AUCAGAUUUCAUAUACUAAACAGGCUUUGGCUGGGGCGGUUUGGGGUGGCAGCAGUCCAAGGAAAACCAGGUGCUGCAGGAAGUGGGGUGGGUGAUUCAGUCAGGUGCAUUCUUCCUUAUGAUUCAGGCUGACCCACUAGCUAAUCACGAGAUCUCGACAAACACUAGAGACUCAUCAGCCAGAGUGAAUUCUCUCAGUGAAAUCGCUCUCCUCUGCCAAGAAUCAAAGGUCACCCCAGUGGAGGGCCGUCUUCGCGCUCAGCCGCUACGGAGUGUCUGGAACAGA